GGUACUAGUGGUGUGACUAGGUAUUUACAGAGUUAUUAGCUGGUACUAGUGGUGUGACUAGGUAUUUACAGAGUUAUUAGCUGGUACUAGUGGUGUGACUAGGUAUUUACAGAGUUAUUAGCUGGUACUAGUGGUGUGACUAGGUAUUUACAGAGUUAUUAGCUGGUACUAGUAGUGUGACUAGGUAUUUACAGAGUUAUUAGCUGGUACUAGUGGUGUGACUAGGUAUUUACAGAGGUAUUAGCUGGUACUAGUGGAGUGACUAGGUAUUUACAGAGUUAUUAGCUGGUACUAGUGGUGUGACUAGGUAUUUACAGAGUUAUUAGCUGGUACUAGUGGUGUGACUAGGUAUUUACAGAGUUAUUAGCUGGUACUAGUGGUGUGACUAGGUAUUUACAGAGUUAUUAGCUGGUACUAGUGGUGUGACUAGGU